rnacentral:rRNA from 1 species
GACGAACGCUGGCGGCGUGCUUAACACAUGCAAGUCGAACGGAAAGGCCCUGCUUUUGUGGGGUGCUCGAGUGGCGAACGGGUGAGUAACACGUGAGUAACCUGCCCUUGACUUUGGGAUAACUUCAGGAAACUGGGGCUAAUACCGGAUAGGAGCUCCUGCUGCAUGGUGGGGGUUGGAAAGUUUCGGCGGUUGGGGAUGGACUCGCGGCUUAUCAGCUUGUUGGUGGGGUAGUGGCUUACCAAGGCUUUGACGGGUAGCCGGCCUGAGAGGGUGACCGGCCACAUUGGGACUGAGAUACGGCCCAGACUCUUACGGGAGGCAGCAGUGGGGAAUAUUGCACAAUGGGCGGAAGCCUGAUGCAGCAACGCCGCGUGCGGGAUGACGGCCUUCGGGUGGUAAACCGCUUUCGCCUGUGACGAAGCGUGAGUGACGGUAAUGGGUAAAGAAGCACCGGCUAACUACGU